rnacentral:tRNA from 1 species
GGAUUGUGGCUCAGUGGCAGAGUGCUUGACUUGCACGUAUGAGGCACUGGGUUUGAUCCUCAGCACCA